UCGAAUGAACCCUUCAAAAUCUAGUUUAAGAUUCGUGAUUGGUUGUUUUACUAUAUGUAGAAAUAGCAAUUCAGCUGUUGAUAAUUCUGAUUUUACUGACGAAUCGCGGGUCACUAGACAUUUCUUCAUCAACAAGAGUUAUGCUGGAUGCCCUAAGGACAUCGGAUGGUUUGUGGUGGUGGAUAAGAGAGACGUCUGUGCAUGGGCAAGGCAGGGAAACGUCCCAGUGUUUUUGUACAACAAAAGUUCUAAAGCUGCAAAUUGGAACCGGAACAUCGGAGUUGCAGACUUGAUGAAUGUCUAUAUCCAGACUUUGUAGCUGCAAGAAUUUUAACUUAUGUACAUGUACAGUCAUUCCGAUAUUCAAAAUGAAUUUAUUCAAAAAAUAUUAUGUACACAUGUACUCGUGUUCAGAAAGGUAUUUCCUUUUAGCAGGAAAUAUUUCUUUUAAUUCAAUAAAUAAAUAAUCUUUAUUUCAAAA